GUACGUUUCUUGAGGGAGCCACAUUACAGCAUAACGUAUUUUCUCUUUCCUGUGAAGAAGAAUGAGAAAGGCAGGGUGAAGGGGUGGGUGGUCUGCCCCGCCAUGCCAACCAAACUGAUAAGGCGGCCUGCGUGUUCCAUGCAUCCUAAACAACAACAAACAUCGCCCUGGAAACCUUGCCUAAAUGUUCUGCCGAGGAUGGAGUCCCUCACCUAGACCCACCAAAACAGCUCUCCUUUCAACCAACACAACAGCACAAACACAGCAGCACAAAACUAGAUUCGUGCCACGCAACCAUUUGGAUUUGGACUUCACCCAACGAUAUGAGACCCUGCAAAGAGAAUGGAUGCAAGACAUUCCCAGCACAGCAUUAGACAUCUUACCUGACAUCAAACCCACAAUGUCUCGACAUCUUCGGAAGAUUCCCGCCGUGCCUCUUUUCCCGCCGCUGUUUAAUCAGCAUCCUAUGGUUUUACGGCACUCAGGGCGCCACAUCGUGCACGUUAACCCUCCCAUAUAAGAGCCGUUCUUUCAACAUGGCGCGCAAGUGUCUGCUUACAUUCAUCUGCCAUUAAUCAGUUGUUACCCUCAAUAUUUGUCUGCAUGGUUUUACUGUCCGCCCCCAUCUGGCUGUUCAGGUUAGAGACGUGGAGAGCGUGUUACUGGUGUUUCUUUCCGUUUUGCCACUUCUCUUGCAUUUUGCCGAAGCCAGACUAAAUUGCAAACAGAUUUCAUUGUUUGCUUUAUACUUUCGGGACGUUUCCCAUGUGAUGUGUUAAUUUCCAAGCAGCUUAGCGCAGAUAAAAUCGAUGCCAUUAAUUUAAGCAGAUGCAAAACAAACACUUUUAAUGUGACUGACUGAUCCUUAGGCCCAGUAGAGUUCACGCUAAGGACCAGAGUAGCGAGGAAGAGGAGGGCAGUCUGGCAAAGCACAGCUUGAUCUGUAUUCAGUGCCAUACUCUCUCUAAUGCUUAUAAAGGGCCAGUUGCGAUUAAUACUUUUAAAAACUGAUAAAAAAUUUCAUGCAUUAAACUUACUUUCUGUUGGCAUUUUCUGUUUCUUAUGAAUAUAGUUGACUCCAGUACCUUAGGUUUCACUUAAGAAUCUCUGCUUUGUUUUUUGUAACACUUGAUAGCCAACAUUUGAUGCAUAAAUGUGAAAACUUACUCAUUCUUAACAUCCUUUAUUUCGUCUAAUGAGUGCUGCGAUCUAUUUUAUUGAAGGGGAGGAAUUUUUACUACCUUUCCAAACCUUUUGAUCAGAUUAAGAGGUUUUGUGGAGGCCAGAGAAGGUGGAGGGGCAUUUACAGUGUGGAGCAGUGUCCAGUUACAGGUCAGCUUGUUUUGGCAUCUCUUUAGGAGGUCUACUGUAGGUGGCUGCCUGUUUAAUGCCUGCUCAAAAAUGUGCCUGCGCAUUCUCCAGCGGCUUGAGAUCUCCACCAUCUGAUGUUUAUUAACCUCUUAUG